rnacentral:lncRNA from 1 species
AGUGUGGUGGAGUCUCCUUCUUUGGAGGUCUUUAAGCAGAGGCUUGACAACCAUAUGUCAGGAGUGCUCUGAUGGUGUUUCCUGCUUGGCAGGGGGUUGGACUCGAUGGCCCUUGUGGUCUCUUCCAACUCUAUGAUUCUAUGAUUCUAGGCUUCUCUUAAGAACUCUCAGCACUCUUAACAAAGAACAGUUCCCAUAAUUCUUUGGAUGGAGCUUUAUUCAUAUCUAUGCUAUGGCCAUUUGAACUGCCUACCGUAAGUAAAUGAAUUGCCCUUUCCUGAUCUUUCUUUGAUAUACUGUACCCAAAUAAUACUAUUUGGGAGUCAUCUGGGAUCUCCCUCUUUCUCUCACACACAUAGAGACUAAAGUGGAUAUCUUCUGGUGAUUGAGAUUGCUUUUAGCAGUGAAAAGCAGGCUAUACGUGUGUGUGUGUGUAUAUAUACAGUGGUACCUCGGGUUACAUACGCUUCAGGUUACAUACGCUUCAGGUUACAGACUCCGCUAACCCAGAAAUAGUACGUCGGGUUAAGAACUUUGCUUCAGGAUGAGAACAGAAAUUGUGCUCCAGCGGCGCGGCAGCAGCGGGAAGCCCCAUUAGCUAAAGUGGUGUUUUAGGUUAAGAACAGUUUCAGGUUAAGAACGGACCUCCGGAACGAAUUAAGUACUUAGCCCGAGGUACCACUGUAUGUGUGUGUGUGUGUAAUAUGGUACAGUGGACGCUCGGGUUGCAAACAUGAUCCAUGCGGGAGGCAUGUUCGCAACCCGCAGCACCCUGUCUGUGCACGUGCGGGUUGCGAUUCAGCACUUCUGCGCAUGAGCAAAGCGUGACUUAGCGCUUCUGCUCAUGCGCGAGCACUGAAACCCGGAAGUAACCCAUUCCGGUACUUCCGGGUUCGGCGCAGUGCGCAACCCAAAAACACACAACCUGAAGCGUCUGUAACCUGAGGUAUGACUGUAUUCUUAAUUACAUAUGUAGGCCUGGCUGAAUAGAUAGGUUUUCAAGUGGUUAAAAGGAGGAACAGAAGGUGCCUGUUGGAGCACCAGUGGCAGAGAGUUCUAGAAGACUUGCCUGAUGACACCAAAGGCUUUGUUCCUUGUUGUGAAAUGAGCCUCAUCAACUUGGAAAAUGACCAGAGGUGCUCUUGCAGAUCAUCUCAGUGUUCAGUCUUUUAAGGCCACACCUGCCAUGAGGCAGAAUACUUUCUGCCCCCGAUCUUACUAUAUGCUCAAAGCAUUUCUAAACUGCUACAUAUUUAGAAUAUCAAAGCACCAUACAAAAGUACAAACAUAAAACAGUGUGAUAAAAGCAGAAAUCUUGUAUCAACAGAUAUUUCUGUAAUCUGCAUGCAUACAUGCAUAAUUAGGUUGCAUUCCUAGCCCCGCUUUCCCAAGAGUAGGCUAAAUCCCAAACUCUGGGAUUUAAUUGUGAGCAGACAUGGUCAGGACUGCACUUGUUAAUCAGUUUAAACUUAUCAGAUUUCUUUAAUUGAGUGACAGCUCUGCCAAGACCUCGCCCUCUGUUAGAUGAGGGUGAUGCCUCAUGCUUCUAAUGUCACACUCGUCUCCAAAAGCCUCUUGCCACAAUAAAUCUGCUAUUUUAUUAUUAAUACAGAUUCUGCUGUAGUCUUCAAAGUGCUGGAAAAUACUGCUUUUUUUCUUCUUCUAUUGCUCAGGAAGUAUUUAACAGCUCAGUCCUGCAGAUGUCUGCUUAGAAGGCAGUGCGAUAGGUUAACGUUUGGCCUCUCCCUCAAGUUUCCACACUUUUGCAAUAGGGGGUUAAUCAUACUGUUCUGUGUCGCAGGAUCUCUGUACGGCUUACAACAAUGUUUGUGAAGCAAACCCGGCGCUCUGAAUUGCUGCAUCAGUGUGAAGUAUUGUAUCCAUCCCUGGAUGCAAAAGUCAAAAGGAAAAUGUGCUGAGAUAAGAAGCGGCUGGCUCUCUCUACUGGUUUCCCUUUUGUGUGUGUGUGUGUCUUUUGUAUUGAAUUAUGCUAGUGUCGUUUCUGAUGGUGUUUGUGUGUGUGGU